GCUGGAGAGGGUGUGGAGAAAAGGGAACCCUCUUGCAGUGUUGGUGGGAAUGUAAAUUGAUACAGCCACUAUGGAGAACAGUAUGGAGGUUCCUUAAAAAACUAAAAAUAGAACUACCAUAUAACCCAGCAAUCGCACUACUGGGCAUAUACCCUGAGAAAACCAUAAUUCAAAAAGGGUCAUGUACCACAAUGUUCAUUGCAGCUCUAUUUACAAUAGCCAGGAAAUGGAAGCAACCUAAGUGUCCAUAGACAGAUGAAUGGAUAAAGAAGAUGUGGCACAUAUAUACAAUGAAAUAUUACUCAGCCAUAAAAAGAAACAAAAUUGAAUCAUUUGUAGUGAGGUGGAUGGGACUAGAGUCUGUCAUACAGAGUUAAGUAAGUCAGAAAGAGAAAAAUACCAUAUGCUAACACAUAUACAUGGAAUCUAAAAAACAAACAAACAAAAAACGGUCAUGAAGAACCUAGGGGCAAGACUGGAAUAAAGACGCAGACCUACUAGAGAACAGACUUGAGGAUACGAGGAGGGGGAAGGGUAAGCUGGGAGAAAGUGAGAGAGUGGCGUGGACAUACAUACACUACCAAAUGUAAAAUAGCUAGUGGGAAGCAGCUGCAUAGCACAGGGAGAUCAGCUCGGUGCUUUGUGAUCACCUAGAGGGGUGGAAUAGGGAGGGUGGGAGGGAGGGAGAUGCAAGAGGGAAGAGAUGUGGGGAUAUAUGUAUAUGUAUAAUUGAUUCACUUUGUUAUAAAGCAGAAAGUAACACACCAUUGUCAAGCAAUUAUACUCCAAUAAAGAUGUUAAAAAAUUUAUAAAAAUUUUUAAAAAUAAAACAAGUCUACUUUAAAAUGGGAAAAAAAAAAAAAAAAGUGGCCCUAAUCACAAAGACAUAAAUUACCAAGAAAUGAUGGGACUCUGUGAGGAAAACUGUUAAAUAAAAGUGACGUGGGAAAUUAGACUGGAAUACAUGAAGGGAGAUGUGGUACAUCAAAUUCUCCCCCGAUUUAAUCUAUGAAUUUAACAAAAUCCAAAACAAAGUGUCUGUAUGUAUUUUUGUUUGCUUGUGUAUGGGUUUUCUUUUUAGGCUUGCUAUUUUGAAAGAAAAAAGUUUGAGAAUAGCUAGGGAAUUUUGUAGAAAAACAAUGAAAGACACUUGUACAGCUGAGUAUUACAGAGUACAACAGAACUCUAGUAACUAAAACAGUGUAUAAUUGGUACAGAAAUUCAUAUAGAAGAAUGAAAGAGCUGGGAGUCCGGAACACUUCAGUUAUAGGAAGUAAUGAUGGAUUGUUCAGUAAGUGGUAUUGGAACAACUGGUUACCUGGCAGGAGAGGCAGGACAGCACAGUACAGUACAGUUAAGUGCAAAGACUGUAGACACACUGCGUGUGUUAAAAUUCCAACUUGCUAGUACUUACUACCUGUAACCUUGGACAAAUGACGUAACCACUCUGUGCCUCACUUCCUUCUUCUCUUCUCCCUAUGGCAUUAUUGCAAGGGUUAAGUGGAUUAAAAUUUGUAGAAGGCCCAGAGCAGAACCUGUCUCAUAGAAUGUACCUACUAAAUGUCAGCUGUUAUUCUGUCAUUUAGGGAAAACAACAAGUCCAUUCCCUACCUCAUACCCA